rnacentral:rRNA from 1 species
UAAUACCAGCUCCUCGAGUUGUUGGGACGAUUAUUGUGUCUAAAGCGUCCGUAGCCGGCCGGAAAAGUUCACCGUUAAAUCCGACGAUUCAAUCGUCGGGCUGCGGAGAAUACUCUUCGGCUUGGGGGCGGGGGAGGUCGGCGGUAUUCCCGGGGUAGGGGCGAAAUCUUAUAAUCCCGGGGGGACCACCAGUGGCGAAGGCGGCCGACUAAAACGCGCCCGACGGUGAGGGACGAAAGCUGGGGGAGCGAACGGGAUUAGAUACCCCGGUAGUCCCAGCUGUAAACAAUGCAGGCUAGGUGUCGGGAUGGCUACGGGCCAGCUCGGUGCCGCAGGGAAGCCAUUAAGCCUGCCACCUGGGAAGUACGGUCGCAAGGCUG